CGGAACGGGUGAGUAAUGCGUGACCAACCUGCCCCAUGCUCCAGAAUAGCUCUUGGAAACGGGUGGUAAUGCUGGAUGCUCCAACUUGACGCAUGUCUUGUUGGAAAGUGUUUAGUGGCAUGGGAUGGGGUCGCGUCCUAUCAGCUUGUAGGCGGGGUAAUGGCCCACCUAGGCUUCGACGGGUAGCCGGCCUGAGAGGGCGGACGGCCACAUUGGGACUGAGAUACGGCCCAGACUCCUACGGGAGGCAGCAGGC
rnacentral:rRNA from 1 species